rnacentral:rRNA from 1 species
UACAGAGGGGGCAAGCGUUACUCGGAAUUACUGGGCGUAAAGGGUGCGUAGGUGGUUGUUUAAGUCUGCUGUGAAAGCCCCGGGCUCAACCUGGGAAUGGCAGUGGAUACUGGACAGCUAGAGUGCGGUAGAGGGUAGUGGAAUUCCCGGUGUAGCAGUGAAAUGCGUAGAGAUCGGGAGGAACACCAGUGGCGAAGGCGGCUACCUGGACCAGCACUGACACUGAAGCACGAAAGCGUGGGGAGCAAACAGG